AAGACCAUGCUUCGCAGGAUCACUUCUGUAGUUGCAGUUCUUCUAUCUCUUCCCUAACACGGAAGUAGGUUCAGCCAUGAUGAGGAGCAAAAACUUCCUCUCUUGGGCGUGAGGACGACAUGAAUUCCCCGACUCGCUUCGAGAAUUCUGUCAUCGAUGAUCGUUCAAUCUUUGUAUUCUGUACAAAGAAAAGGGAGAGGAAGUAUUCUGAGUAGC